AACUCACCCACUCGGUUUUCCCAGAACGGUUCUCUCCAGCAACGACCGGGAAUGCUUGAGGUCUGGGCAACAGCAGCUUAAAUGCUCCCCGAGGACGUCUCUGCUUCCACAGGCCUUGUCGGGUCGCAGUGCAGGCUGCUGGAACCUGGGCUGGUUAGUGUCCUAGACACACCUUCACCAGCUCUCUAUGGCUGGUGGCUUUUAUGAGACAUCCGGGGAUUCUAGGCGGGGCUUGGACACAGGUGAUCCAAUGAGAGUUCUCCGUGCUGCACGCGGGCUACUCCAAAACCAGGAGUGGGUUAAUCAGAUUAGGGCUGGGCCAGGGAGAGCGCGAAGGUGUUGCCAGAGUGUGAAAAAGACCCGCUGGCAGGAGGUGGGGCACGCCCAUAAUCUCAGCACUCGGGAGGAUGAGGCAGGAGGAUCGCUGCCAGUUUGAGGCCAGCUGGAACUAACUACAUAGGGACCCUGUCUCUCUAUAAAUCAAUCAAUCAAUCAAUCAGAAAAAGACCUGAGGAUGCGGGAGGCGGUGGCCUGGAGCUGACCCUGAACUUGGGCAGGCUCGGCCAUGGCGGAGGAGGACUCAGGGGACCCUGUAGAUGGUCCGCAGCCUGUGUGACGGCCCAUCCCUCGGGAGAAGAAGCCAAGGCCGGCGCUCUGUGGGGAGCAGUGCUCCUGUCCCCUGGGGACUUCGCUGUCACUUCUUCGUUUCCACCUCUUCCGAAGCCUCUGAAAACUGUCAUUCGCAGAACCCGACAUCGCUUCAGUUCACGGUUUGCGCGCUUCUUACCAGAGCCUUCCCGGGGGCAGCACCUUCGCUCUUCAGCGCGGCUCUGGCCUUCACUGAUGCUCUGAGACCAGGGCUCCCUUCCACGCCUUCAGUGGAGUCGCCAGUGUCACUGUCGGCAUCGAUUUUUCCAUAAAUGAUUUCAUCGCAUUCGUGUCUUCUUCUCCUAAACCAGUAAAUCGAUAACCACAUUCCUCCCCUGAGGAGAGAAGACCUUAACAAUACUUCGUUGUUAUGCGCUCAC
rnacentral:lncRNA from 1 species